UACGGAGGGUGCAAGCGUUGUUCGGAUUCAUUGGGCGUAAAGGGUAGGUAGGUGGUCUCGUGUGUCUGAGGUGAAAUCCCUGGGCUUAACCCAGGAACUGCCUCGGAAACUGCGAGACUGGAGUCUCGGAGAGGUUCGUGGAAUUCCCGGUGUAGAGGUGAAAUUCGUAGAGAUCGGGAGGAACACCAGAGGCGAAAGCGGCGAACUGGACGAGUACUGACACUCAACUACGAAAGCGUGGGGAUCAAACAGG
rnacentral:rRNA from 1 species